rnacentral:tRNA from 1 species
GGCGCCUUGGUCAAGCGGUUAAGACAGCACCCUUUCACGGUGGUAUCACGGGUUCGAUUCCCGUAGGCGUCACCA